rnacentral:rRNA from 1 species
AUGCCGGCGGUGAUGGCCGGCGUUGACGGCGGCGGUCGAUCCCUGGAUUGCCGCAGCUUCUGGAAGGCCGGCGCCAGCGAGGGCCCCUCCGUCCCCAUCCGCGAGUUCCACGAUGCGCUGGAGACAGGGGACUUCGACCGCGCCCGCGUGCACCCCAAGUUCCUCCACACCAACGCCACCUCCCACAAGUGGGCGUUCGGAGCUAUAUCUGAACUUCUUGACAAUGCGGUAGAUGAGAUCUGCAAUGGUGCCACAUUCAUAAAAGUGGAUAAAAGCACCAACACGAAAGACAACAGUCCAAUGCUAGUUUUUCAAGACGAUGGAGGAGGAAUGGAUCCCGAAGGGGUGCGCCAGUGCAUGAGCCUAGGAUUCUCAACCAAAAAGUCAAAGACAACCAUUGGCCAGUAUGGAAAUGGCUUUAAGACAAGCACAAUGAGACUCGGUGCUGACGCAAUUGUUUUUACUCGUGCAAUACGUGAAAGUAAAGUUACCUUGAGUAUUGGUUUGCUCUCUUACACUUUCCUGAGGAGAACAAUGAAGGAUGACAUAGUUGUCCCCAUGCUUGAUUUUGAAGUCCAAGAUGGCCAAAUAGCACCUUUGGUUUAUGGUUCACAGGGUGAUUGGGAUAGUAGCCUAAAGAUAAUACUUGACUGGUCCCCUUUUUCUUCGAAGGAAGAACUGCUACAGCAGUUCGAGGAUAUGGAUAGUCAUGGAACCAAGGUGGUGAUAUACAAUUUAUGGAUGAAUGACGAUGGUCUUUUAGAACUUGACUUUGAUGAUGAUGAUGAGGACAUAUUGCUUCGUGAUCAAGGUCAAAACAGUGGGGCGUCAACGAAGAUUCAAAAAGAAAUUAUUCAGCAACAUAUAUCUCACAGACUGAGAUUCUCAUUACGUGUGUCAGUGAAGGUAGAUAUUGGCUUUGCAAAAGAGGCUCCUGUUUUGGGCAUUUUUGGGAUUAAUGUCUACCAUAAAAAUCGACUAAUCAUGCCAUUCUGGAAGGUCCUUCAAGAAGCAUCUAGUAGAGGGAGAAGUGUUAUAGGUGUACUUGAGGCAAAUUUUAUUGAGCCGGCACAUGACAAGCAAGAUUUUGAGAGGACUCCACUGUUCAUUAGGCUGGAAACAAAACUGAAACAAAUUAUCGUUGAUUAUUGGAAAGAAAAGUGUCAUCUAAUAGGUUACCAGCCAAUCGAUCCGAAAUUGAGAUCCCAGUAUAAGGCUGCUCUUAAAGAUUCGGGCGGCCCUAGUGUGAAGAUUCGGCAUGAAGCUUCCACUGCUCAGAAGACUGGAGGGCACCUCUCAAAUUUGCUCCCACAGACAUAUGAUGAUGAAGCAGCUUUUAGACUGACAGCUAACAGGGCAGGUUCUGCUUUGCAUUCGUCUGGCCAAGGUAGUAUGGACUCAGCAGGCUUGGAAGAGGAUCUGGUAGAUAUUGGCUCUCUUGGUGUUCUUGAUCCCAGUUGCAAUGAGAAGUUGAGUGAAGAAAAUUUGGUUCUGUUCACAAGGCGUGAAGAUCUUCGGCAACGAGAUACACAGUUGAAGCAGACGAUUGGCGAGCUGGAGCAUGAACUAGAGGAAACAAGAAGGAAGUGCUCUCAGCUCGCAGCUGAACUGCAGUUGCGGAGGAGCCAGCAACAACAUUACAUGUGA